rnacentral:rRNA from 1 species
AUUGAACGCUGGCGGCAUGCUUUACACAUGCAAGUCGAACGGUAACAGCACUUCGGUGGCUGACGAGUGGCGAACGGGUGAGUAAUACAUCGGAACGUGCCUAGUAGUGGGGGAUAACUACUCGAAAGAGUAGCUAAUACCGCAUGAGAUCUAAGGAUGAAAGCAGGGGACCUUCGGGCCUUGCGCUACUAGAGCGGCUGAUGGCAGAUUAGGUAGUUGGUGGGAUAAAAGCUUACCAAGCCGACGAUCUGUAGCUGGUCUGAGAGGACGACCAGCCACACUGGGACUGAGACACGGCCCAGACUCCUCCGGGAGGCAGCAGUGGGGAAUUUUGGACAAUGGGCGCAAGCCUGAUCCAGCAAUGCCGCGUGCAGGAUGAAGGCCUUCGGGUUGUAAACUGCUUUUGUACGGAACGAAAAGCCCUCUUCUAAUACAGGAGGGUCAUGACGGUACCGUAAGAAUAAGCACCGGCUAACUACGUG